CGGCAACGGAUAUCUCGGCUCUCGCAUCGAUGAAGAACGUAGCGAAAUGCGAUACUUGGUGUGAAUUGCAGAAUCCCGUGAACCAUCGAGUCUUUGAACGCAAGUUGCGCCCGAAGCCAUCAGGCCGAGGGCACGCCUGCUUGGGCGUCACACGUCGUUGCCCCC
rnacentral:rRNA from 1 species